rnacentral:tRNA from 1 species
GCUCGGUUGGUGAAAUUGGUAAACACGCUGGUCUUGAAGAGUUCCUAACACACAAUGUUGGGGUUUCCUCAAACUAGUGUCGAAAGACUUGCGGGUUCAAGUCCCGCACCGAGCA